UACGUAGGCAGCAAGCGUUGUUCGGAAUUACUGGGCGUAAAGAGUGUGUAGGCGGUGCUCUAAGUUCGGUGUGAAAUCUCCCGGCUCAACUGGGAGGGUGCGCCGGAAACUGGGGCGCUGGAGCGCGGGAGAGGAAAGCGGAAUUCCUAGUGUAGCGGUGAAAUGCGUAGAUAUCAGGAGGAACACCGGCGGUGUAGACGGCUUUCUGGACCGUAGCUGACGCUGAGACACGAAAGCGUGGGUAGCAAACAGG
rnacentral:rRNA from 1 species